rnacentral:rRNA from 1 species
AUUCAAGGGUGUGGCGCGAGCGACUUCGGUCGCGAAGCAAUUGGAAGUGGUUCCAAGAAAAGCCUCUAAGCUUCAGUCUAACGAUGACCGUACCGCAAACCGACACAGGUGGGCGAGAUGAGUAUUCUAAGGCGCUUGAGAGAACUCGGGAGAAGGAACUCGGCAAAUUGGUACCGUAACUUCGGGAUAAGGUACGCCCUUGUAGCUUGACCAGCCUGCGCUGGAAGGGUGAAGGGGUUGCAAUAAACUGGUGGCUGCGACUGUUUAAUAAAAACACAGCACUCUGCAAACACGAAAGUGGACGUAUAGGGUGUGACGCCUGCCCGGUGCCGGAAGAUUAAAUGAUGGGGUGCAAGCUCUUGAUUGAAGUCCCGGUAAACGGCGGCCGUAACUAUAACGGUCCUAAGGUAGCGAAAUUCCUUGUCGGGUAAGUUCCGACCUGCACGAAUGGCGUAACGAUGGCCACACUGUCUCCUCCCGAGACUCAGCGAAGUUGAAGUGUUUGUGAUGAUGCAAUCUACCCGCGGCUAGACGGAAAGACCCCAUGAACCUUUACUGUAGCUUUGCAUUGGACUUUGAACCGAUCUGUGUAGGAUAGGUGGGAGGCUAUGAAACCGGAACGCUAGUUUCGGUGGAGCCGUCCUUGAAAUACCACCCUGGUUUGUUUGAGGUUCUAACCUUGGUCCGUGAUCCGGAUCGGGGACAGUGCAUGGUAGGCAGUUUGACUGGGGCGGUCUCCUCCCAAAGGGUAACGGAGGAGUACGAAGGUACGCUAGGUACGGUCGGAAAUCGUGCUGAUAGUGCAAUGGCAUAAGCGUGCUUAACUGCGAGACCGACAAGUCGAGCAGGUGCGAAAGCAGGUCAUAGUGAUCCGGUGGUUCUGUAUGGAAGGGCCAUCGCUCAACGGAUAAAAGGUACUCUGGGGAUAACAGGCUGAUACCGCCCAAGAGUUCAUAUCGACGGCGGUGUUUGGCACCUCGAUGUCGGCUCAUCUCAUCCUGGGGCUGUAGCCGGUCCCAAGGGUAUGGCUGUUCGCCAUUUAAAGAGGUACGUGAGCUGGGUUUAAAACGUCGUGAGACAGUUUGGUCCCUAUCUGCCGUGGGCGUUGGAUAUUUGAAGGGGGCUGCUCCUAGUACGAGAGGACCGGAGUGGACGAACCUCUGGUGUACCGGUUGUGACGCCAGUCGCAUCGCCGGGUAGCUAUGUUCGGAAGAGAUAACCGCUGAAAGCAUCUAAGCGGGAAACUCGCCUUAAGAUGAGAUAUCCCUGGAGGCUUGACCUCCUUGAAGGGUCGUUCGAGACCAGGACGUUGAUAGGUCGGGUGUGUAAGCGCAGUAAUGCGUUCAGCUAACCGAUACUAAUUGCCCGUAAGGCUUGAUCCU